CGGGGGAGGCCGGAUCCUGGGCUGUGUCCCGGCGCCCUGUGCUCCGGGGCCUGCGCUGUUGGAUUCGCGCUCCCCGCUGUGCAGCCCCCU
rfam:Canis lupus familiaris chromosome 4, whole genome shotgun sequence.